GAACAGCACAGGAUCAUGGUUGUCAGCCUCAGAGGCAGACAGCUGAGGUUGAAAUCUUAGCUCUUGUGUUACUAGAAGGACAGUUUGAGGUAAGUUAUUAAGUGUCUUCAGGGCUUGGUUUUCCCAAGGAAUAAAAGCAUUCCCCUCCCUCCCUAACACACAUGUCCAGGGAGUGCAUGAGUUGUAAGGAUAUUAUCACAUGUAGAGCUUAGAAUAACAUGUGGCUGGUAGCCAGAGCAAGGCAGUCUCCUAAAUCAGUUUGGUUGAUAGCUUUCCUGGGCGUGAAGAGAAUUCAUGCAUGUCCUUGUGGGGCUUACAAAAGAAGAGCCAUUGCUUUUGACGAUGAAUAAUUGGUGUUCACCUCAACUUGCUUUCAAGGAAAGUUUGAGAGAUUGCUUUGAAAGAUUGGCUAAAAUUUAACAUGGGCACUAAGACGUUUUAAAUUGGAUUCAUGAUUCUGUCUUCACUGCACUCUGGAACUCUUCAAUGGGUAGUUACCUGCUUCCUAAUAACUUCAGUUGUCAUCCUGCUCUUUCCUUUCUGACUCACCCACAAUACUAACAAAGUUAGAGGUCUCAAACAUCAUGGAAGUGGUUAUUUUUGGUUCAGCACAUUAAUGUAUAAGAUUUUGUUUUGAUGAUGGUCGUAUCUGUUUGUAAUUUUCCCUUGGCCCUAGUGUGGUGGGGCACAUGGCAUAGCCCCUGGUCAGCAUGGGGCAUGAGAAUGGCAGCCCAUUUGCUCUGCUCGAGGUAUUCUCCCAUGGCAGUUAUUCAACCUCUUCAGAGGCUCCUUUUCCACAGUAGAAAGGAUAUUCAAAUCCUUACUAACUGUUCAGUGUUGGUGAGAAGGAUCUGUCGUCACAGCCCCUGCAGCAUGCAAGAGUCUCUUAGCGGCAAACCUAAGAACUCAGUUAAUAUUCACAGUUAUUUUAGUACAUCUUGGAUGCUGGAAUUUCCAUUAGGUGUCCCAGAAGAAUCAAAUUGGGUAGACUUUAUUCACCCAAUUUUUCCUUCAGGAAAAUCUAGAACAAGCUCCCAGAAAGUUGAAUCAACUCAAGAGGAAUGCGUGAAUCAAAAAUGUUUAUAACAAUCCAGAUAAUGGAAGGAUAAGACAGAGAUUCAGAGACAGAAAAAUCAAGUCUGAAUUUAAGAAUCUCCACACUUUUCUGCACAGUGAGAGGGAUUCUUAUCUGUGGAGGCUGGAGAAAGAAGAGCAGAUGCUGAUGAGCCUGAGGGAGAAUGAGGCCAACUUGGAGUGGAAGAACCAUGAACUCAAGAGCCACCUCCUGGAACUAGAGGCAAAAUGUCAGAGCUCAGCCCAGAAACUGGCGCAGAGAUAUUGUGGGGCCUCUUACAACUGCAUAAAGGAUGCAUCUCAUAAUGACAAACAGCUGGAGCUGUUAAUUCAGGAUCCCACAAGUGGAACAGAAGGUCUCACCCUGGGGCUGAAAAAGGUAGCACAUCUAUUCCACCGACUGUGAUGCCUGUUGCCACCAUCUUGGUGGCCCAGCUCAGGAACUGUGUAUACAGCCAGAGCAGAAGAUCUCAGUAACAAGUCAUUUCUACAUGGGCUCACUCUGCAGGACAUCAGGUCCCCGAGAGCCAGACUUGCCAGGAGGAAGCUGAGCAACGCUCCUGCCUGCAUCCCCAGCAGCCACAGGCUGAUGCCACUGCAGCCAUUGAUUGCUCUUCCCCACACACUUCUGCUGGGUCACAGCCUCCUGCUGAGUGGGCAGAGGCUCGGUGGGAUCAUUGCUCCUGCCUCUGCAGCAGUGUCUCAGCCUGGGUUGAGCUCUCAUUCCUUUUUGGGGAGUUGUGUUUAUAGACGGUGUCUACCAUGCCACAGUCCAAGGAGUGCUGAGGCUAGCAUACUUCCUUUUGUUUUUCUUCCUUAGAGGAUGUGAAAGGCAUCUUGUGCAGGUGAGUCCAGUAUGAAUACAGGAAGGGAGGAUCCAGUUGGUCUGGGCUGAAUGGAGAGGACCACUGAGGAGUCUCUGCCUCUGCUUCUUCCAGGACUUGUGCUGUGAAGCUGGAAGCACCUGAGGCCUUUUCCUUGGAGGUUCAGACUGUGUUUGGUGCUGCUGAACUUUACAGGAAUAUGAAGAUGAAGUUAAUGGGUUAUCAAGGUAUGAGAUCCAGGGAUUCUCUCAGUGCUGUGAUGGGAAGGACUUCAAGCAACCUCAGGGAUCGUGUGGGUAUUUUCAGCAGGGCUGCCUUACUUUCCCCAUUUAGCAUGAUCUUGCUGAAUUUGUUUUGCAUCCUGGGCAUAUGAGGAAACCUUUAGUUUCUGCUCUGCUCUGUCACCUCAGGCAGCUCCUGUCACUGUUUCCCCUUUGGAGAAAGAAGUGUAUUCACAGUUCCCAAUAUACUGAGUUGUCCUGAACACUAACUGCAAUCACACAUGAAAACUGUUCUCAUGGUGCUUGGCACCGGAUGGAGUUAGGUGGAGUAGGAUGGAUUUUCUUUGGCGCAGGUGACUGUCAUGCUUCUUGUGACUGUUUCAAAUUCUGACAGGAGUCCAGAAAGUUAGAUGAGUAUUACAGACCAUGUUUUCAACAGUUUUAGGCACUUGCCUUAGAUAACACAGGUAAAUAUGAUAACCCUGACAAAAAUUAUGUUUCACUAUGCCAAUGGCUUGUCUUCCUGUUCCAUUUUUCAGUGCUUGCUUUAUUUCUAUAGUUUUUUCCCAUAACUACAAAAUGCAAAAUCUGUGAAAACGGAGUUUUAUUUUGAUUAUUUUUCCUGCAUGAGACCUGAACUUGAACUGUUUUGCUGGCUGUAGUACUCAUUUAUUGUUACCAACAAAAUAGCAAAAUUCAGUGUCUUAAAACAAUUCAAAUAUCUCGUCUUUGUGAGUCAGGAACCUGGGUGCAGCUCAGGGGACCUCUGUUUAGAGCCUCAGGAGGCUGCAGUGAAGGUGUAGCUGGGCUGUGUUCUGAUCCUGACUCUUGCCUGGAAAAGAAAACCUCCCACACUCACUUAGGUUGCUGGCAGGAUUCAUUUCCCUUGGGUUGCAGGUUAGAGGGUCCUGGUUUCUUGCUGGCUGUGGCUCCAGGCUGCCCUGACUCCAGGGUCUCCAGUCAGCUCUUUGCACAUAAGCUUACACGUGGCCGAGUAUUUCUCAAGCAUGAGCUUAGAAGGAGCCUCCAUAGGGAAUGUGUCAGUGAGAUAAAUAAUGUGUAUAAAUAAUCAAUCACUGUCACAGGAUUCAUAUCCUAACAUUUGUGCCAUACUGCAGGGGUCAGAAGCAAUUCUCAGGCCCUGCCUGCAAGUGAAGGGAAGGAAUUUCACUAUGUCUGAACACCAAGAGGCAGUGUCCUCGGAUUGCCCCCCCACCCUUCCUUUGAGUCUGUCUGUCCCAGGGGACUCACCUGAACUCCACUGAUGUGAAGUUAUCUGGAGUCCUACUUUAUCCCAUGUACUUUGAAUAUAGGUUUUGCUACAGAAAUAUUGGUGCUUUUGGUCACAAAAUUCUGCCUUGAACCCUGUGGGAAGACACAUCAUAUAGAGACUAGGACCUUGAAGAGAAAGUGCUGAUGUUUGAGAUGCAUGUGCCAUGUUCCUAGAUCCUACAGAGAAUGCAAUUUUGCCUCUCCCUACUCUUCCAGCAGCAAUAGAACAACCAGUGUUCCACGUCUUCUUGAUUGUAUGUAUAUAAUUUUUUCCCAACUGAUGGAUUUGAAAUGGUACCUAAUUGUGCACCCAAUUUCUGUUUCUCCAUUUUCACUAAUGAGUUUGGGAGUUUUACUUGUUCAUGUUUUCUUUGUAAAGGUUUAUGUCUAAGACCCUUUGGGUUUCUGUGAUUUACCUCUGAUUUACUGGAGUUUAAUAAUUUUUAAACUCUAUGUUAUGGCUUGUGUCUAGACGUCUGCCCAAAGCGUCAUGCAUUCAUAGGUGGGGCUUUUUCUGAGGGGGCUGAAUAUAGAAUGUGUGAUUCAUGGUGCAAGGCUAGGCAGGCGAACACUAGGUUUAAGAAGGUCAGUAAUACCCACCUAAGUAGUCAGAGUAAGAUAAAAGGGACAGAAAGAUACUGUUGAGGUCCCCUGUUGCUUUUGCUGUCUUUUGCCACCAUGAACUGUUGCCCCUCUGCCAAGCCACCCUGCCACGGAGCCAGCUGAUUAUGGAUUGAAACCUCUUGAAACUGUGAUCUAAUAAACCCUUUCCCCUUUGUCUUUGAAUGUCGGGUAUUUUGUCUCAGCAGUGAGAGAACAAUAACUAACAUAUUUAGGUUCUUAGAUCCUUAUUAAUUUCUAGGAGACUAUAGCCAAUGUUUCUCCUGUUAUAUGCGUGGCAUUUUCACUUUCUUUUUUCUGAUUAAGUUUCAAACUUAGGGUGACCAUAUUUUCCUUUACAGUUGGUGACUUUUGUUUCCAAAGAGCCCAGUCAUCAAUGGGCAUUGAAUUUCACCAAUGAGUUAGUUGCAUUCACUGCGAGCAUCCUGUGAUUUCUUUCCUUAAAUGUGCUGAGGAGCGACCUCAUCAAAAGAGAAUAGGAAGGGGAAACUAUCUCCCUAACAGACUUUCUGGAUGACAGCAGAGGCAUUGAUAGAGGAAGAAGCACUUAUGGCCUCAAAUCAAUCAGCUGGGCUGAUGAAACAGAUGACUGGGAAGAGGAUGUUUCAGCCAGAUGGCAGAGUGGGGAUGAGGAUGUGUAUGGGGUUCCUGGAACUGACCAUGUUGUCCUUGCCACCGCUCCAUGUGCUGCUCAGGAACCCAGUGUCGACUGGAGCUGUCUGCCCAAGUCUCUGCCCUACCCUGCUUUUCUUGGGAACCUUCCCAAAGAUCUGAUCAAAGAUUUGGUUAAGAACUUCUUUAGAGGAUUAAAUAUCAGGGUGGUGCAUUUACCAUGUGACCCCUGCAAUCCAAAAAGGUAGAAAGGUUUUGGUUCUGUUCAGUUUGGGAACUUGGAUUCCCUGCUCUGUGCCCUGAGUCUCAAUAAACUGUGUCUAGGCAAAAGAAUAGUUCGAGUUGGAUUAGCUGAUCAAGCAUAGCAAGACAGCACACAGGAGCCUGACAAAACAGACACAGACUGGAGGGCCCGACCUGCCACAGACAGCUUUGAUGAUGACAGCCCACCCAGAAGCAGUGAUGAUGGCUUUGGAUGCAAGUAUCAAGACUGUUAUGAUUCAGAUAGUGGUGGGUAUCAGAAUGGCCUAUCCUGGCCUAUGAAUCCAUAUAGGAGCCGGGAUCAUUAGGGCCACCAAGGCAGCAGAGACUCUGAUAGAGACUGUGAUUCCAGAAUAGGCAAUGGCAGAAGAGCCCUCCAUAGUGAGUGCCAUAGAGAU
rnacentral:lncRNA from 1 species